UCACAUGAGUUGGAUAUAACAACUAAGAAUUAUGAUGAAUUCCAGGGAAUAAUGGAAGAUGGAAGAGAGAUAGCUGUAAAGAGACUCUCAAAGACCUCUAGGCAAGGAACAAAUGAAUUUAAGAACGAAGUUGUCUGCAUUGCAAAACUUCAGCAUCGAAAUCUUGUCAAGCUUUUAGGAUGCUGCAUUCAAGAAGAAGAGAUGAUGUUGAUCUAUGAGUAUCUUCCAAAUAAAGGCUUGGACUUCUUUAUCUUUGGUAUGCAUAAGUUUUGUUGAUUCAUGUUUACAUUUUGGACUUACCUGAUGAUUAGUAAUGCUUUUAAUAUUUUGCUACAUUAUAUUACAAAAUUAUGUACAGAUGAAAAGCGAAGCAAAUCACUUGACUGGCCUGCCAGAUUCAAUAUCAUAAAUGGGAUUGCUCGAGGACUUCUGUAUCUCCAUCAGGACUCUAGACUACGAAUUAUCCAUAGAGAUCUUAAAGUAAGCAAUAUCUUGUUAGACAAAGAUUGGAACCCAAAGAUAUCUGACUUUGGCAUGGCUAGAAUUUUUGGAGGAGAUGAGACAGAAGCAAGCACCAGAAGAGUGGUCGGCACAUAGUAAGAACUAGCUAUUUAGCAUAACCUGUGUAGUAAUAUAAUCUUUUGAUCUAGAUUUGAUUUCUUGUUUCUACUCCUUCAGUGGCUAUAUGUCUCCUGAGUAUCAACUGGACGGUCUUUUCUCAGUAAAAUCAGAUGUAUUUAGCUUCGGUGUUUUAGUGCUUGAAAUUGUAACUGGGAAAAGAAACAGAAGAUUCUUUCAUCCAGAUCACCAUCACAAUCUUCUAGGACAUGUAAGUUUUUGGUUUUCUCCUGUUCUUACAAUACAAAAACAGAAACUAAUAUAUAUUUUUUCAUAUUCAGGUCUGGAACCUGUAUAAAGAAGGCAAGGCGGAGGAGCUGGUAGAUGCACAAUUAGGUUACUCAAGGCCUUAUCAGUCUGAAAUUUUGCGAUCAAUUCACAUAGGUUUGUUGUGUGUACAACAAGAUCCAGAAGCGAGACCAAACAUGUCCUAUGUUGUUAUGAUGCUGGGAAGCGAUGUUAUACUACCAGAGCCUACACAACCUGGUUUUUUCACAGAAAGAAACAAGUUUGUAUCUGACGACUCUUCAAGCCAGAACAUAUCAAAUACCGUGAAUGAAGUCACUGUCACACUACUAGAUGCUCGAUAACAAUAUUGUGUAACAUAAUAAUCGGUGAAAACUUUUAGUUCUGUUAUCCAUGUUUUCUUGUAGGAAGAAGUUCUGAACAAUAUCUAGCAAUAUUACAAGCCAAAAUUUCAGAAUUAUGGUUUUUUAAGGUCAUGAACACACCCAGUCAACUGCAUUCUUCAAUCCGACACCAACUUAUGAUGUAUUGAUGAAAUUUGAGACCUUUCCAACCUGUGUUGUUGUAAUAGAAAAGAUUAUCAACUCCUUCCUUUCAAAAUAAAAUAUUCUCCAUGUGUGAAACAAAGACAUUUGUAGUAAAUAUUAUCAUGAAGGGACAGCACUCAAUAUUUUAUUUUUCGUUUUCUAGGUAAUUAUUUUUUACAAAGUAUGCAUGAAAUCAAUUUGGAAUUUGAAUUUGAAUAUUUGUUUAUCUUCGAUAUUUGAAUGAGAUCAACUAGAAGAUGUGAACUCGGAAAUAUUAGUAUGCCGACUUGAGGAAGAUUUCAAAAGAUGUACAGCAUGUUUAUCCUUUACGAAUGAUGUUUGUUAAAUUAAAAUAGAAAAAGGUGAAGAAUAUCAAGUGGCAUUGUGCCACAGUGUCAGUUCACAUGUUACCUGGAAGCUUACUAAAAGAGUAAAGUGAUUACAGAUAGGCUGACUGCUGACCUUUGUUUUUAGUCGCCUUUACGAAACUGCGCUGGACUUUCUUUCAUAUUUUCAGGAAAUAUUCUUCUCCAGUGUGGAAGAGCAACAUGUUAAAGAUCUAAACAUUCUCUUCAUCACUAUAUUUUACAGUAAACACAAAAACAAACACUAAUGAAAGAAUUUAUACUUGUUUUAUUUUGUUGUUCCUUUGUAUUAGGAAACAUCAAAGUUCUGGUAGCUCAAGACGCAUUAAAAACAAGUCAACUACUCAGAGAUGGUGAAACUAUAGUUUCUGCUGGAGGAAACUUUGAACUGGGAUUCUUUAGUCCUGAAAGUUCUGUAAAUCGAUACGUUGGAAUAUGGUACAAGAAGAUAAGUACUGGAACUGUGGUUUGGGUUGCCAGCAGAAACAAUCCUAUCAACAACAAAUCCGGAGUUUUAACACUCACUGCUCAAGGAAAUCUGAACAUCAUUGUCAAUCUCACAAGUGAUGUCAUUUGGUCUUCAAAUUCCUCGACAUUAGAUAAGAAGAUCGACGCAGUUGCACAACUUCUUGAUACAGGAAAUUUUGUUGUCAAAGAUGUGAAGGAUAAUAAUGUUUUAUGGCAGAGUUUUGAUUAUCCAACUGAUACUUUAUUAGCUGGAAUGAGGUUUGGAAUUGAUAAGGUUACCGGAUUAGACAGGUAUUUGACGUCUUGGAGAAGUAAUGAUGAUCCAGGUACAGGUGAUUAUACUUAUCGAUGUGAUCCUCAAGGUUUCCCUCAGUUUUUAAUUACAGAUGGUUCUAAAAAGAUUUACAGGCUUGGAAAUUGGAACGGGAUCAUAUUUAGUGGAUUUCCAAGACCGGUAAGCAACAUUAGUCUAAGUUUUGUAAAUACUUACAAGGAGGUCUACUAUAUGUACAAUAUUGUUAACAGUUCUAUGUUUACAAGAUUGGUGCUUAAUCAGAAUGGUGUUGCUGUGCGACAGACAUGGGCUGAGAAAAGUAAGAAUUGGGUUGUUUUUUUAUCCGGACCAACAGAUAUCUGUGAUAAUUAUGGAAAGUGUGGUAAAUUUGGUAGCUGUAACAUUGCAAAUGCAACAAUUUGUGAGUGCUUGGAUAAAUUUAAGCCAAGGUCUCCCAAAGAUUGGAACGCGGGUGACUUUUCUGAUGGUUGUGUUCGGGAGAAAUCAUUAGAUUGUCGAAAUGGAGAUGGAUUUCUCAAGUAUUCGAACAUUAAAUUGCCAGACACAGAGAGUUGCAGGAGUUAUGAGAGCAUGAACCUGAAGGACUGUGAAAUAUUAUGCUCAAAGAACUGCUCUUGUACUGCCUACACAACUUUAGACAUAAAUAAGGGAAGUGGCUGUUUGAUUUGGUUUGAUGAACUGAUCGACAUCAGGAAAGCCCCUCAAGGAGGUGGUCAAGAUAUCUACAUAAGAAUGGCAGCUUCAGAGUUAGGUAUGUUAUUAUAUUGUAAUCAGAUAUGAUUCUUUUGCUUGUAAUAUUAGAUUCACAACUUGCUCAAAUUUGCUGAAAUGCAUAGUUCAUAUGCUUAAAUUUUAUACACAUAUUAGAAUUGAGUUUUGACAGAUUUCUUGUUUAAAACAGCACUGGUUAGAAAACUCUGUGUUCUCUUGAAAAUCAUUCAUAUUACAUAUCUUUAGACCAAUAUUAGACGGGCAAUAACACAUGAAAUAUAUAUAUAGGUGCCCAUCUAGGUGGUUCUAAGGGAAAGAAGAAGGAGACAGUCAUAAUAGUCAGUUUGAUAUUCUCAAUUGGGGCUAUUGUGCUAGGCCUUAGCAUUACAAUUUACAUGUUGAAGAAAAAGAAGAGCAAAAGGCAGGAAGGUAUUUCCAUAUGAGCAUCUCUUUAUUCCAAACAGACGUAAACUAUUUGAGUAUCUUAUCUGUAAAAUUUUACUACUCUUCAUGGAUGUGUUUCCUGCUCACAGGGAGGUUCACCCUUGAUACCGAGCAAUUCCAAUCCAAGGAAAGCCAGCAGGAAGAUCUAGAGCUACCACUAAUCGACUUAUUUGCAAUAGAGAAAGCUACAAAUUACUUUUCUGUGAAUAAUAUUCUUGGAGAGGGUGGAUUUGGUCCUGUAUACAAGGUAAAAAUAUCAACUUUAUAGGAUUUCCACAUGAGUCUAAUAUAACAACUAAGAACUAUGAUAAAUUCCAGGGAAUAAUGGAAGAUGGAAGAGAGAUAGCUGUGAAGAGACUCUCAAAGACCUCUAGGCAAGGAACCAAUGAAUUUAAGAACGAAGUUGUCUGCAUUGCAAAACUUCAGCAUCGGAAUCUUGUCAAGCUUUUAGGAUGCUGCAUUCAAGAAGAAGAGAUGAUUUUGAUCUAUGAGUAUCUUCCAAACAAAGGGUUGGACUUCUUUAUCUUCGGUAUGAGUUUUGUUGAUCAUGAUGCUAAUUGAUCACAAAGCGAGCAGUCCAUGGGAACUGCUUCUUUCAUGUAUACAUUUUGGAGUUCCCUGAUGAUGAG
rnacentral:lncRNA from 1 species